rnacentral:rRNA from 1 species
AACGAACGCUGGCGGCGUGCUUAACACAUGCAAGUCUAACGGGAAUGUCGGCUUCGGCUGACUAGUACCGUGGCGAACGGGUGAGUAACACGUGGGUAAUCUGCCCUCGAGCUCGGGAUAACCUUGCGAAAGCGAGGCUAAUACCGGAUAAGACCACGCCCUGCACGCAGGGUGUGGUAAAAGGUGGCCUCUUCUUGAAAGCUAUCACUUGAGGAUGAGCCCGCGGCCUAUUAGCUAGUUGGUAGGGUAAUGGCCUACCAAGGCGACGAUGGGUAGCCGGCCUGAGAGGGUGUACGGCCACACUGGCACUGAGACACGGGCCAGACUCCUACGGGAGGCAGCAGUGGGGAAUUGUGCGCAAUGGGGGAAACCCUGACGCAGCAACGCCGCGUGAGUGAUGAAGGCCUUCGGGUUGUAAAGCUCUUUUAGUGGGGAAGAAGCCCUCCCUGACUAAUAUCCAGGGGGUCUGACGGUACCCACAGAAAAAGUUCCGGCUAACUACGUGCCAGCCGCCGCGGUAAAAC